rnacentral:rRNA from 1 species
AUACGGAGGAUGCAAGCGUUAUCCGGAUUUAUUGGGUUUAAAGGGAGCGCAGGCGGAGAUGCAAGCGUGACGUCAAAUUUCGGGGCUCAACCCCGUCUCGCGUCGCGAACUGCGUCCCUUGGUUGCGGGAAGGGGAGGCGGAACUCGUGGUGUAGCGGUGAAAUGCAUAGAUAUCACGAAGAACUCCGAUCGCGAAGGCAGCCUUCCGGCCCGUCAACGACGCUCAUGCUCGAAGGUGCGGGUAUCAAACAGGAUUAGAUACCCUGGUAGUCCGCACAGUAAACGAUGGACACCCGCGGUUUGGCCUGUAUGGCUGAGCCGCCAAGCGAAAGCGUUAAGUGUCCCACCUGGGGAGUACGCCGGCAACGGUGAAACUCAAAUGAAUUGACGGGG